GCGAGCGAAGCGGGAAGAGCUCAAAUUUAUAAUCUGGCACCUUCGGUGUCCGAGUUGUAAUCUCUAGAAAUGUUUUCCGCGUUGGACCGCACACAAGUCUGUUGGAAUACAGCGGCAUAGUGGUGAGACCCCCGUAUAUGGUGCGGACGCCCAGCGCUUUGUGAUACAUUUUCGAAGAGUCGAGUUGUUUGGGAAUGCAGCUCAAAUUGGGUGGUAAAUUCCAUCUAAAGCUAAAUAUUGGCGAGAGACCGAUAGCGAACAAGUACCGUGAGGGAAAGAUGAAAAGCACUUUGGAAAGAGAGUUAACAGUACGUGAAAUUGUUGGAAGGGAAACGCUUGAAGUCAGACUUGCUUGCCGAGCAAUCGGUUUGCAGGCCAGCAUCAGUUUUCCGGGAUGGAUAAUGGUAGAGAGAAGGUAGCAGUUUCGGCUGUGUUAUAGCUCUCUGCUGGAUACAUCUUGGGGGACUGAGGAACGCAGUGUGCCUUUGGCGGGGGUUUCGACCUCUUCACACUUAGGAUGCUGGUGGAAUGGCUUUAAACGACCCGUCUUGAAACACGGACC
rnacentral:rRNA from 1 species